CGGGCGCUAAUGAACCGUCCAUGGUGGUCUUUUGGAUCGUGAGGCGGAGAAUGUCUCGGUCAACUGAGGGGCUAGUAUUUCUGAAAACGGACUCUACUCCAUGAAUGAUGGUGAUGGUGACGGUGGUAGUGGUGAGUUGGCGGCAGAUAGUUUUAGACUUCGUUGCAAGAUGUGAAGUGUUGCCGGCAAUCUUCUCCGCUACGACCACGCCGUCCUGCUUCGUAGAACGCGUCGAAAGGCGAUGCACUCGACCUCUCCAGGACAAAACUUGCUGCAUACCUACACAGGCGUAGAUCAGAAGAUAACUGAAUAAAUGGAGCUGUGAUUCUGUGCAGAAACUGGGCGGUGUUGGUGAAUAGAUCCUUAUUAGAUUACGUGAUGCAUAGUUAAACGGCCAGUUUGUCAACAGAAUUAAGAAAGAAAUUUUCUGAGGCCUUCCAGUAAGAUUAUUGGAAGAACCAGACAUUUCGGAAAAUAUUUAAUUUUAUUUUACUUAAACUUGGGUUAUUCAGAGCUGAUAUACAUGUACUUUAAUAUCAAUAAUGUUAUUGCUUCUUGUUCAAUGAGAGAUGUGAGGUGAAGCACCUGACAAUGAAGUUAAGGACUCUGA